AUGGGCAUGUGUGUGGGCAUGCGUGUGUCUGUGUACACAUGGGCAUGUGUGGGGGGGGCAUGCGUGUGUACACAUGGGCCUGUGUGGGCACGUGUGUGUACACAUGGGCAUGUGUGUGCGUGUGUGGGCACGUGUGUCGGUGUACACAUGGGCAUGUGUGUGUGGGCAUGCGUGUGUCUGUGUACACAUGGGCCUGUGUGUGUGUGUGCAUGUGUGUGGACACACGUGUCUGUGUACACAUGGGUCUCUGUGUGUGCAUGUGUGUGGGCACACGUGUCUGUGUACACAUGGGCCUGUGUGUGUGCAUGUGUGUGGGCACACGUGUCUGUGUACACAUGGGCAUGUGUGUGUGCAUGUGUGUGGGCACACGUUUCUGUGUACACAUGGGUCUGUGUGUAUGUGUGUGGGCAUGUGUGUGUACACAUGGGCAUGUGUGUGCAUGUGUGUGGGCACACGUGCCUGUGUACACAUGGGCCUGUGUGUGCAUGUGUGUGGGCACACGUGCCUGUGUACACAUGGGCCUGUGUGUGCAUGUGUGUGGGCACACGUGUCUGUAUGUGUGUGUGGGCAUGUGUGUGUACACAUGGGCCUGUGUGUGUGCGUGGGCACAUGUGUCUGUGUACACAUGGGCCUGUGGGGGGCACACGUGUCUGUACACAUGGGCCUGUGUGUGGGCAUGCGUGUGUGUACACAUGGGCCUGUGUGUGCAUGUCUGUGUACACGUGGGUCUGUGGGGGGGCAUGCGUGUGUGUACACAUGGGCCUGUGUGUGUGUGCGUGGGCACAUGUGUCUGUGUACACAUGGGCAUAUGUGUGCAUGUGUGUGGGCACACAUGUCUGUGUACAUAUGGGUCUCUGUGUGUGUGCGUGUGUGUGGGCACACGUGUCUGUGUACACAUGGGUCUGUGUGUGUACACAUGGGCCUGUGUGUGCAUGUGCGUGGGCACACUUGUCUGUGUACUCAUGGGCCUGUGUGCGUGUGUGUGAGGCUGCUGUGCUGGAUGAAGAGAGAAUUCAGGGUCCCGGCAGCCACAGGUGUGGGACCACAGAGGGUUCUGGACGUCUGGGGCACAGCUGGGGGACAGGUGACUACGGCCUGGGCGUUAGAACCACGUGCACACAGAAAGGUGGCCGAUAA
ensembl:lncRNA